ACAUGCAAGUCGAACGAAGGCUUCGGCCUUAGUGGCGCACGGGUGCGUAACGCGUGGGAAUCUGCCCUUGGGUUCGGAAUAACAGUUAGAAAUGACUGCUAAUACCGGAUGAUGACGAAAGUCCAAAGAUUUAUCGCCCAGGGAUGAGCCCGCGUAGGAUUAGGUAGUUGGUGGGGUAAAGGCCUACCAAGCCGACGAUCCUUAGCUGGUCUGAGAGGAUGAUCAGCCACACUGGGACUGAGACACGGCCCAGACUCCUACGGGAGGCAGCAGUGGGGAAUAUUGGACAAUGGGCGAAAGCCUGAUCCAGCAAUGCCGCGUGAGUGAUGAAGGCCUUAGGGUCGUAAAGCUCUUUUACCAGGGAUGAUAAUGACAGUACCUGGAGAAUAAGCUCCGGCUAACUCCGUGCCAGCAGCCGCGGUAAUACGGAAGGAGCUAGCGUUGUUCGGAAUUACUGGGCGUAAAGCGCACGUAGGCGGUUAUUCAAGUCAGAGGUGAAAGCCCGGGGCUCAACCCCGGAACUGCCUUUGAAACUAGAUGACUGGAAUCUUGGAGAGGUCAGUGGAAUUCCGAGUGUAGAGGUGAAAUUCGUAGAUAUUCGGAAGGACACCAGUGGCG
rnacentral:rRNA from 1 species